UGCCAGCAGCCGCGGUAAUACGGAGGGUGCGAGCGUUAAUCGGAAUUACUGGGCGUAAAGCGCGCGUAGGUGGUUAAUUAAGUUGACUGUGAAAGCCCCGGGCUUAACCUGGGAUGGUCAGUCAAAACUGGUUAACUAGAGUAUGGGAGAGGGCAGUGGAAUUUCCGGUGUAGCGGUGAAAUGCGUAGAGAUCGGAAGGAACACCAGUGGCGAAGGCGACUGCCUGGCCUAAUACUGACACUGAGGCACGAAAGCUAGGGGAGCGAACGGGAUUAGAUA
rnacentral:rRNA from 1 species